GAUCCUGGCUCAGAUUGAACGCUGGCGGCAGGCCUAACACAUGCAAGUCGAGCGGAUGAGUGGAGCUUGCUCCAUGAUUCAGCGGCGGACGGGUGAGUAAUGCCUAGGAAUCUGCCUGGUAGUGGGGGAUAACGUUUCGAAAGGAACGCUAAUACCGCAUACGUCCUACGGGAGAAAGUGGGGGAUCUUCGGACCUCACGCUAUCAGAUGAGCCUAGGUCGGAUUAGCUAGUUGGUGGGGUAAUGGCCCACCAAGGCGACGAUCCGUAACUGGUCUGAGAGGAUGAUCAGUCACACUGGAACUGAGACACGGUCCAGACUCCUACGGGAGGCAGCAGUGGGGAAUAUUGGACAAUGGGCGAAAGCCUGAUCCAGCCAUGCCGCGUGUGUGAAGAAGGUCUUCGGAUUGUAAAGCACUUUAAGUUGGGAGGAAGGCAGUAAGUUAAUACCUUGCUGUUU
rnacentral:rRNA from 1 species